GUUUGAUCAUGGCUCAGAUUGAACGCUGGCGGCAGGCUAACACAUGCAAGUCGAGCGGAUGAAGAGAGCUUGCUCUCUGAUUCAGCGGCGGACGGGUGAGUAAUGCCUAGGAAUCUGCCUGGUAGUGGGGGACAACGUCUCGAAAGGGACGCUAAUACCGCAUACGUCCUACGGGAGAAAGCAGGGGACCUUCGGGCUUGCGCUAUCAGAUGAGCCUAGGUCGGAUUAGCUAGUUGGUGAGGUAAUGGCUCACCAAGGCGACGAUCCGUAACUGGUCUGAGAGGAUGAUCAGUCACACUGGAACUGAGACACGGUCCAGACUCCUACGGGAGGCAGCAGUGGGGAAUAUUGGACAAUGGGCGAAACUGAUCCAGCCAUGCCGCGUGUGUUAAGAAGGUCUCGGAUUUGUAAAGCACUUUUAAGUUGGGAGGAAGGGCAGUAACUUAAUACGUGCUGUUUUGACGUUACCGACAGAAUAAGCACGGCUAACUCUGUGCCAGCAGCCGCGGUAAUACAGAGGGUGGCAAGCGUUAAUCGG
rnacentral:rRNA from 1 species